rnacentral:rRNA from 1 species
GACGAACGCUGGCGGCGAGCUUAACACAUGCAAGUCGAACGGAAAGGCCCUGCUUUUGUGGGGUGCUCGAGUGGCGAACGGGUGAGUAACACGUGAGUAACCUGCCCUUGACUUUGGGAUAACUUCAGGAAACUGGGGCUAAUACCGGAUAGGAGCUCCUGCUGCAUGGUGGGGGUUGGAAAGUUUCGGCGGUUGGGGAUGGACUCGCGGCUUAUCAGCUUGUUGGUGGGGUAGUGGCUUACCAAGGCUUUGACGGGUAGCCGGCCUGAGAGGGUGACCGGCCACAUUGGGACUGAGAUACGGCCCAGACUCCUACGGGAGGCAGCAGUGGGGAAUAUUGCACAAUGGGCGGAAGCCUGAUGCAGCAACGCCGCGUGCGGGAUGACGGCCUUCGGGUUGUAAACCGCUUUCGCCUGUGACGAAGCGUGAGUGACGGUAAUGGGUAAAGAAGCACCGGCUAACUACGUGCCAGCAGCCGCGGUGAUACGUAGGGUGCGAGCGUUGUCCGGAUUUAUUGGGCGUAAAGGGCUCGUAGGUGGUUGAUCGCGUCGGAAGUGUAAUCUUGGGGCUUAACCCUGAGCGUGCUUUCGAUACGGGUUGACUUGAGGAAGGUAGGGGAGAAUGGAAUUCCUGGUGGAGCGGUGGAAUGCGCAGAUAUCAGGAGGAACACCAGUGGCGAAGGCGGUUCUCUGGGCCUUUCCUGACGCUGAGGAGCGAAAGCGUGGGGAGCGAACAGGCUUAGAUACCCUGGUAGUCCACGCUGUAAACGGUGGGUACUAGGUGUGGGGUCCAUUCCACGGGUUCCGUGCCGUAGCUAACGCUUUAAGUACCCCGCCUGGGGAGUACGGCCGCAAGGCUAAAACUCAAAGGAAUUGACGGGGCCCCGCACAAGCGGCGGAGCAUGCGGAUUAAUUCGAUGCAACGCGUAGAACCUUACCUGGGUUUGACAUGGAUCGGGAGUGCUCAGAGAUGGGUGUGCCUCUUUUGGGGUCGGUUCACAGGUGGUGCAUGGCUGUCGUCAGCUCGUGUCGUGAGAUGUUGGGUUAAGUCCCGCAACGAGCGCAACCCUUGUUCACUGUUGCCAGCACGUUAUGGUGGGGACUCAGUGGAGACCGCCGGGGUCAACUCGGAGGAAGGUGGGGAUGACGUCAAGUCAUCAUGCCCCUUAUGUCCAGGGCUUCACGCAUGCUACAAUGGCUGGUACAGAGGGUGGCGAGCCUGUGAGGGUGAGCGAAUCUCGGAAAGCCGGUCUCAGUUCGGAUUGGGGUCUGCAACUCGACCUCAUGAAGUCGGAGUCGCUAGUAAUCGCAGAUCAGCAACGCUGCGGUGAAUACGUUCCCGGGGCU